GUGAAGUUAACUCCCGUGGAAUGGGAGAUGAUAAUAAAGGAGGGCGUGAGACUAUGUGACAGCACGUUUCAUGAUUGGAAUGAUGGAGGUAGCAAAGUUCAAAGCUCAACCAAAAUUCCCCCAUCAUUUAUUUAUUUUUCUAUUCGCUUUCGAUUUCCAAUCCAAACGACAAAGAAUGUUGGGUGCGUCGUGCGUAAAUGCCGCGAGUAAUUGAAACUUCCGCCUAACACAUCAUUGCCAGCAACCCCAUUUGAUCCAGAGGAGGAACCUCUGUCUUGGGUUACUCCGCGUUCUUUCAAAUUCUGGAAAUCGAUUCUUUUCAUGAUCACAGAAGCUCAGCUGGUUUUUUAUCCAAAAACGUCCCAACCCUUUUCUCCCAUUUCUGUUUCUCUCGUUUUUCUCUUAGAUUCAACUUUUGUUCUUCUCUUAUCUCACGUGUACGCACGUUGUUUCGUUGAAAAAAGAAAAAAAAAAAAAAUCGACCCCAAAAGAAGGGGUGUUUCUGGUUUCUUGAAUCAUCUUUUGAAUUGGGUUUUGAUUUUUAGAGGAUUCUCCGAGUUGGGUGGAUCGUUCACCGGACUCGGUAUGGCCACGCCGAAGAAACCCAAAAGACUUUACCAAGUUUGGAGGGGAAGUAAUAGAUUUUUCUGUGGUGGGAGAUUGAUAUUUGGGCCUGACGUAUCAUCUCUGUUUCUCUCCAUAUGUCUUAUUGUUGUACCUGCUGUUGCUUUCUGCGUAAAGAUAGUUUUGAAGAUUCAUGAUGAGAAACCUCCUGGGAACACUCAUUGGUAUCCUGUAUUAUUUGGUGGUCUCAGUCUCACUAUUCUGGAUUUGACGUUUCUCUUAUUGACUUCCAGUAGAGAUCCUGGAAUACUGCCUCGAAAUUCAAGGCCUCUUGAGUCAGAUGAAUCAGAUGACAUGGCUACACCGUCCAUGGAAUGGAUCAAUGGAAGAACCCCACAUCUGAAAAUCCCUCGGACUAAAGACGUGACUAUAAAUGGUCAUAUAGUAAAAGUCAAGUACUGCGACACUUGUCUGUUUUAUCGGCCUCCUCGUGCAUCUCAUUGUUCCAUAUGCAACAAUUGUGUUCAGAGAUUUGAUCAUCACUGUCCAUGGGUUGGGCAGUGCAUUGGAAUACGUAAUUAUCGGUUCUUCUUCAUGUUCAUAACAACCUCAACUAUCUUGUGUGUAUAUGUGUUGUCAUUUUCGUUGUCCAUUCUUGUUCAUUAUCAAGAAACCUUUUUCAAGGCUGUAUCCAAAGAUAUCCUUUCAGAUAUUCUAGUAGUGUAUUGCUUCAUCGCCUUUUGGUUCGUUGGUGGCCUCACCAUAUUCCAUUCCUAUCUUGUUUGUACAAACCAGACCACCUACGAGAAUUUCCGGUAUCGGUAUGACAAGAAGGAGAAUCCAUAUAACAGGGGAAUGGUAAAGAACAUUAGAGAAGUAUUUUUCACAAAGAUACCACUUUCAUCAAAUAAGUUCCGAUCUGUUGUCGAGGAUGAUCACAUGAUGGUGGCCGUUACUCCUAAUCUUGAAGAAGGUGUUCUUAGCUCAAAGGAGAAAAUUGACUUUGAAAGGGGAACUAGAUUUAUGGAGGAUGAGGCCUUCCCAAUCCCUGAGAUAUUGAGGAGGUUGGAAUAUGAUGACGAUCUGGACGAUGAUUUGAAGACUGUAGAAGGAGAAAGACCUCAUGUUGAUCCACUAUUUCCUCUGGACCAAGAAGUAGAAGAAUUUGCAAAAAGUGCUAGUGAUCGAAUACCUGACCCCCAGCUAGUAUUAUCAAUGGAAAAUAGUGAUGCAGUAGCCGUAGAAAAUUUCAUCCUUAAUGGGGUGAACACAGAUGGGACCAAGGAUGCACACGACUCAUCUCAGGUUAAAGCUUCAAAGUUUUAGGCGUAAAGUCUCUUGUUCAGUUACCUUUUGACAAAACUGAAGCCAACAACACAAGUUCAGAUCAUUUUGUUACAUUUCUAUGGAGGCAGAGAAGCAGCAAUGCUUGCUGUUUUCAUUAGAAGCAGUGAGAAAUGGCUUAAGAAAGAUUGUGUUGUACAUUAGGUAAACCAAAGGUGUAGAGGUUUAAUGAAUGUUGAUGAAGAAGCACAUCAAAAGCUUUAUUAUUGUGGUGGAUGAGGAAUUUUCUGUUUCUCUUUGUUAAAAAAGUGUUGUUGGUUGCUUUGCAUUUUCAUGUAUCUAAAAGUGCUUAAAAAUAAAGCUCAAAUUUCACAUGCCAUAAUCAGGUUUUCUUGA